rnacentral:rRNA from 1 species
GACGAAUGCUGGCGGCGUGCCUAAUACAUGCAAGUCGAACGCUUCUUUUUCCACCGGAGCUUGCUCCACCGGAAAAAGAGGAGUGGCGAACGGGUGAGUAACACGUGGGUAACCUGCCCAUCAGAAGGGGAUAACACUUGGAAACAGGUGCGAAUACCGUAUAACAAUCGAAACCGCAUGGUUUUGAUUUGAAAGGCGCUUUCGGGUGUCGCUGAUGGAUGGACCCGCGGUGCAUUAGCUAGUUGGUGAGGUAACGGCUCACCAAGGCCACGAUGCAUAGCCGACCUGAGAGGGUGAUCGGCCACAUUGGGACUGAGACACGGCCCAAACUCCUACGGGAGGCAGCAGUAGGGAAUCUUCGGCAAUGGACGAAAGUCUGACCGAGCAACGCCGCGUGAGUGAAGAAGGUUUUCGGAUCGUAAAACUCUGUUGUUAGAGAAGAACAAGGAUGAGAGUAACUGUUCAUCCCUUGACGGUAUCUAACCAGAAAGCCACGGCUAACUACGUGCCAGCCGCCGCAGUAA